rnacentral:rRNA from 1 species
UACGGAGGGUGCAAGCGUUGUCCGGAAUCACUGGGCGUAAAGGGCGCGUAGGCGGCCCGGUAAGUAGGGGGUGAAAUCCGUGCGGCUUAACCGCAGGGCUGCCUUCUAAACUGUCGGGCUCGAGCACGGUAGAGGCAGAUGGAAUUCCCGGUGUAGCGGUGGAAUGCGUAGAGAUCGGGAAGAACAUCAGUGGCGAAGGCGGUCUGCUGGGCCGUUGCUGACGCUGAGGCGCGACAGCGUGGGGAGCAAACAGG